AUGAGGUCUGUUGGCCGUGAAAAGCCAUCAGGCAAGAUGAUCAGUACCAAGCCAGCCUCCAUUGAACGAGCAUGUGUGCACCAUGUCUCAGCUACAGAAGCUCAAGAUGAUCCUGACGUCGUACUGGGUAUGCUUCUUGUUAAUUGUCACCCAGCUUCAGUUCUGUUCGAUACUGGAGCAUCCCACUCCUUCAUAUCCAAAGGAUACGCUCGGUUGCACGACAUGUCAUUUUGUGAUAUGCCGACUCCACUAAUAAUCCAGACUCCUGGUUCCAAAUGGAAAACCUCCAAGGUAAGCCAUGGUAAUGAAAUCCUUGUUGACAGACUGGUAUUCCUUGCUUCUUUGAUACCUCUAAAGUCCUCAGAUAUUAACAUCAUCUUGGGUAUGGACUGGAUAACAGCUCAUCAUGCCAAGAUCGAUUGUUACACCAGAUCUGUUCAACUUACACAUCCAUCUGGCAAAAUAGUCAAUGUCUCCACUAGAGUUGCAAGGCGUCAACUCUAUUCUCUUAAUGCCAGCCCUCUUCCAGACCUUGAAGAUAUUCCGAUCGUCCGUGACUUCUCGGAUGUUUUUCCAGAAGAACUGCCAGGUGUCCCACCUGACAGAGAUGUAGAGUUUGUCAUAGAACUUAUCCCAGGAACUGUUCCAAUCUCUAGGAGACCAUACGAGAUGGCACCUUUGGAGUUAGCCGAGCUUAAGAAACAACUUGAUGAGUCCUUGCAAAAGGGUUUCAUCCGUCCCAGUUCUUCUCCUUGGGCUUGUCCUGUCCUCUUUGUCAAGAAGAAGGAUGGUACGGAUCGGAUGGUUGUAGAUUAUCGUCCCAUUAAUUUGGUCACGAUAAAGAACAAGUAUCCGCUCCCCAGGAUCAACGACCUAUAUGAUCAGCUCGCUGGAUCCUCAGUCUUUUCCAAGAUGGAUUUGAGGUUAGGCUACCACCAAAUCAAGAGCAGAAAUGGGGACAUCCCCAAAACGGCCUUUGUCACUCGUUAUGGUCAAUACGAGUACACCGUGAUGUCUUUCGGCCUAACCAAUGCUCCAGCUACUUUCUCCCGCUUGAUGAACUCGAUCUUUAUGGAGUACUUAGAUAAGUUCGUCAUGGUUUACCUCGAUGAUAUUCUUAUUUACUCGAAGAAUGAGGAAGAGCAUGCCGAACAUCUUAGGCUUGUGUUAGAAAAACUCGGAGAGCAUCGCCUUUAUGCCAAGUUCUCCAAGUGUGAAUUUUGGUUGCCAGAAGUGACCUAUCUGGGCCACGUGAUCUCUGGUAAGGGCAUUGCUGUUAAUCCCGAGAGAGUCAAAGCCGUUCUCGAUUGGACUCCACCCGAAACGGUCAAACAAGUUAGGAGUUUCCUUGGUCUAGCCAGUUAUUGUCGUCGCUUCGUUGAAAACUUCUCCAAAGUGGCCAAACCCCUCAUGGAGCUUCUCAAGAAAGAUAAAAGGUUUGAGUGGACCCACAGUGUGAGCAUAGUUUUCAGGAACUGA
rnacentral:rRNA from 1 species